UGACUUUGAAAUUUUCAAAAUGGCUGCCGUUGCCAUGGAAACGGCAGAAAUGUGAAAUUUUUAAAAUGCUGUGAAUGUACUGAAAAUUUACAGAAAGAUGUAUUGCCAUGCAUAUAUGUGCAUUCACUGUUAAACGAUUCUGAAAUGGCUGCCGCUUAGUGGCAAUUGGGGGAAGGGUGACAUCCGCUAUUGCUUGCAAUGGCAAUUCUAGUUAUUAUUAUGGCACCCUCAACGGAGUUGGGGUGACAUAUUGUUAUUGUUCGUUUCUUUUUUUCUUAUUAUUCUUAUUAUUAUAUUUAUUCUUCCACACUUUUUUGUCCAUUCUAUUUCUCGGAAUUGGCUUCAACAAUAUUGAUGGAACUAUAGCAUAAUGUAGACCACCACAUUCUAUAGUGCAGUGGGGUAUGGCACCAUCAAGAUGGCUGCCGUUGCCAUGGAAACGAAACAAAUGUGAAAAAUUCUGUUUUUGUUUUGGUGAACUGUUUGAAUAUGCUUUAACUCAGAAUCAUUAUAUUUUAAUACAAUGAAGGUGCCCACUAUAUACAGGUGUUGGAUGAUUUUGGCACUCAUUGGAACUACUAUGUUGCCAUGGAAACUAAACCAAAAAUUUCAAAAAUAUCAAAAUGCUCCAAACUUUAUGAAACUUCACAGUAACGAUGAGCAACAUUGGAAGAUGUGGAAUUUGGCGUUGGAAUUUCCAAAAUAUCUGUAGAUACCAUGGAAACAAUGCAAAAAGGUCAAAACUUUGAAUUUUUACAGAACAUUCCAGAACAUCAAUGUUAAAUGUAUUCUAGAGACAUUAAAUGGUAUAUGAUGGUAUAUAUGAUAAUGGAGGGAAAAAAUUGCAGCGGGGGUUUGACUUUGGAAUAUUCAAAAUGGCCGCCGUUUCCAUGGGAACAGCAAAAAUUUCAAAAAUUUCAAAAUUUCUCCAAACUUAAUGAAACUUUACAAAAUUGACAAUUGGCAUGAGUAGAUGCACUCUAUGAUUUUGGAAUUUUCAAAAUGGCUGCCGCUCGCCUGGCAAUGGGGGAAGGGUGCCAUCCGCUAUUGCUUGCAAUGGCAAAUCUAGUUAUUAUUAUUUUUCUUCCACACAUUUUUGUCCAGUCUGGAACUCUAAUGUGAAUGGACCCAACAAGAUGGUACUAUACCAUUAUGUUAACCACCAGAUGAAGAUUUGCUUUUUGGGGUUGGCACUUUCAAGAUGGCUGCCGUUACCAUGGAAACGGAACAAAUGUGAAAAAAUCCAGUUUUUUUGUUUUGGUGAACGAUUUGGAUACUAUUAACUCAGAAUCAUUAUAUUUAAUACAAUGUAGGUGCCCACUAUAUACAGGUGUUGGAUGAUUUUUGGCACUCAUUGGAACUACUAUGUUGCCAUGGAAACUACUCCAAAAAUUUCAAAAAUCUCAAAAUGUUCCAAACUUAAUGAAACUUCACAGCAACGAUGAGCAACAUUGGAAGAUGUGGAAUUUGGCGUUGAAAUUUCCAAAAUCGCUGUUGUUACCAUGGAAACAAUGCAAAAAGGUCAAAACUUUGAAUUUUCACAGAACAUUCUAGAACAUCAAUGUUUAAUUUAUUCUAGAGACAUUAAAUGGUAUAUGAUUGUGGAGGAAAAAAAUUGCAGCGGGGGUUUGACUUUGGAAUAUUCAAAAUGGCCGCCGUUACCAUGGAAACAGCAAAUAUACGAAAAACUUCAAAAUGCUUCAAAUUUAUUGAAAUUUAAAACAAAUGUUGCUCAGCUAAUGUAGACUUGAUUUUUGAGUUUGGAAUUUCAAAAUGGCCGCCGUAACCAUGGCUACCGCUCACCUGGCAAUAGGGGAAGGGUGCCAUCCGCUAUUGCUUGCAAUGGCAAAUCUAGUUAUACUUCCACCUAUUUUGUCCGGCAUGUUUUUUGGAGUGAAAUGGAACCAAUCUUAAUGAUAGUUCACUAUAAGGUGGAACAAAAAAUUUCGGGUGCAGGUGGUCUAAGACCAUAAAAAAUGGCUGCCGUUUCCAUGGAAACAGGAAUAAAUUGUGAAAAAUUCCAGUUUUUUGGUUUUGGUGAAUAAUUUGGAGAUUCUUAAACUCAGAAUCAUUAUUUUGAUACAAUGUAGGUGCCACCAUAUACUGGUUUUUGGAUGAUUUUGGCAAUCAUUGGAACUACUAUGUUGCCAUGGAAACUGCACCAAAAAUUUCAAAAAUAUCAAAAUGCUCCAAAUUUUUUGAAACUUCAUAGUAACGAUGAGCAACAUUGGUAGAUGUGCAAUUUGGCGUUGGAAUUUCGAAAAUGUCUGCUGUUACCAUGGAAACAAGUCGAAAAUGGUCAAAAUGCUUCAAAAACCUUAAAGUGGCAUUUACUUUCUUAAAAUGGUAGGUCAAAUCCAUUGAAACUUUGAUGGUAUGUUCCCUCCCAUGUACCAAUGUGGUAUCUGCCAUUAGAAAUUUGGAAUGGUAUCUGUUACCAUAGAAACCAGCCAAAAUGUCAAAAAUUUCAAAAAUUUCAAAAUGCUCCAAAAUUGAUGAAACGUAAUAUAUUUGUUGACUGUCAAGUCUGCAUGAGACUUUUGAAGUUGGAAUUUCCAAAAUGGCCACCGUUGCCAUGGAAACUGCAGAAAUGUCAAAUAUUUUCAAAAUGCUCCAAACUUAAUGAAACUUAAUAUAAUUGUUAACUGGCAUGUAUAGAUGAGACUUUUGACUUCGGGAUUUUCAAAAUGGCUGCCGUUGCCAUGGAAACAGAAGAAAUGUGAAACUUUUGACAAUGCUCAAAACGUACUAAAAAUUUACAGAAAGAUAUAUCGCAAUGCGUUGAUCUGCAUUCACUGUUAAAUUGUUUUCAAAUGGAUGCCGCUUAGUGGCAAUAGGGGAAGGGUGACAUCCGCUAUUGCUUGCAAUGGCAAUUCUAGUUAUGUCACCCUGACGGAGGUCGGGUGACAUAUUGUUAUUGUACGAUUCUUUUUUUUAUUAUUAUUCCACACUUUUU
rnacentral:lncRNA from 1 species